rnacentral:lncRNA from 1 species
GGGCAGAAAGUGCAAGCUGUUUCAUGAUCUAGGGAAUUCUCCUCCCUUCAUAUUCUUGCAGAGAAUCAAUCUAUAUUUCAGAGUAUAUUAUAAGAUGCAUUGGGUAUAUAUAUACUUCCAGAGAAUGAGAAGUCAACAAGUUUUAGCAAGCCAUUGAGUAUUUAAUAUCACAAACAAUUUGUUCUAUUCAAAAUAUAUUGACUACAAAAUUCCAUGAGCUCUGAAACCACUGUUAAAUAUCAAGAGCUGAGAACAACUGCAACAGACCUAUGCAUUGCAGUAAUCUGCAGAAGUACUAAGGACCACUGCAGUGGAUCCAUAAAAAGUAUCAUUUGGAAUCACUGAGGGAGAACAGCAACAAUUUACAUAUCUGAAAAUAAGAAGCAAGAGCUGGUAGAAGAAAAGAACACUGCUCUUAGAGACCUUGGAGAAGAAGAUUAAAAUGAGGCAAUUAAUUUCAAUUGUUCUUAUCUGGGGCUCUGAUCAGAUUAAUGCUGUAAGCUAUAACAACUGUACUUUCAUAUUGGGAGAGGUUGCUCUCUGGAAUAAUGAGUAGGGCCAUAUUUUUAUUUCGUCGGGGUUGUAUAAAUUAAAUUUCUUUCCAUUAGCUUAUAAAUGGAAUUGUUCCU